CAAGCGUCACAUUUUGGCUAUUUAACUUCACCAAACUAGUGGCCGGGAAGUAAGCCCUUAAUUUAUCAAUAAAGGGUGUCAAUUUAACCCUCUUAUACUCCAAUUACAUCCACAUACCAUACAUAUUCAUAUAAUAUCCCCCAACACAACUUUGGCUUCAUUACACCUCCCAACCAAGACACAAAGCGAAAUGAGCAAUAGACGUACACAAUCAUUAAUUCAGUGGUGUAUCACCACAUCCAUCUUCUAUAGUUCAAUACAAACUAAUCACACCUUU
rnacentral:lncRNA from 1 species